ensembl:snoRNA small nucleolar RNA SNORD60
AGCCAGUGAUGACAAAUCAUAUUUUCUGACACCUUCUAUGAGAGCUGAACUUCAGCUUGUGAUUCAGAAUUUUUUCUGAGGCUC